UACAGAGGGUGCGAGCGUUAAUCGGAAUUACUGGGCGUAAAGGGUGCGUAGGUGGUUGCGUAAGUUAAUUGUGAAAGUCCUGGGCUUAACCUGGGGAUUGCAGUUAAUACUGCGUGACUGGAGUGUUGUAGAGGUAAGCGGAAUUUCCGGUGUAGCGGUGAAAUGCGUAGAUAUCGGAAGGAACAUCGAUGGCGAAGGCAGCUUUCUGGACAAAUACUGACACUGAGGCACGAAAGCGUGGGGAGCAAACAGG
rnacentral:rRNA from 1 species